rnacentral:rRNA from 1 species
AGUGAACGCUGGCGGUAUGCCUAACACAUGCAAGUCGAACGGCAGCACAGUAAGAGCUUUCUCUUACGGGUGGCGAGUGGCGGACGGGUGAGGAAUACAUCGGAAUCUACUUUUUCGUGGGGGAUAACGGAGGGAAACUUAUGCUAAUAGCGCAUACGUUCUACGGGUGAAAGCAGGGGAUCUUGGGACCUUUGGUGAUUGAUUGAGCCGAUUUCGGAUUGGCUAGUUGGGAGGGUAAAGGCCCACCAAGGCAACGAUACGUAGCUGGCCUGAGAGGAUGAUCAGCCACACUGGAACUGAGACACGGUCCAGACUCCUACGGGAGGCAGCAGUAGGGAAUAUUGCACAAUGGGCGAAAGCCUGACCCAGCAAUGCCGCGUGAGUGAAGAAGGCCUUCGGGUUGUAAAACCCUUUUAUUAGGGAAGAACAGCAGCAGAUGAAUCCCCCGAUGUUCUGACGGUACCCAAAGAAAAAGCAACGGCUAACUUCGUG